rnacentral:lncRNA from 1 species
CUUGUAGGUACAGUGUACAGACAACUCUUAUUUCCCAACCUGUUGGAGCAUAUUUUGCGAUUUACCUCCCUCACAAAAUUCUAAAGAUGGAACGGCGAGAGCUCUUAAAUUUGGGAUUCAACCUUUCUUUUUCUUUUUGUUUUUUUAAACCGGGGGUCUCUCCACUCAAUGAUGUCAUUAGCAGGGGUAUCACAGAGAUCCUCCUUCUCAUACCUUUCAAUCCUGGUGCUCACUACCCGGUCCAUAUUCUCUCGGGUCAAUCCAUAUUUCACAAAAUUCUCCAUGCCAUCGUUGGUCACGAACAUGACCCGCAUUUCCCCCACCUUACCUGUCAAAGCAAAGUGCACCUGCUCAGGUCCCCGACCCGGUUCAAACCCGACACGAUCAGAUUCCGCCAACAGGUGCCCGGCAGAGGAUUGUGAUCGUGGUCCAUGUGCUUCAUGUUUACUACGGUCUCCAGCCAGUGGAAUGCCCGGAACUGGUAAUCCGAUCGUAGAUUCACCAAUGGAAGGGUAAUCGAGCCCGACCCAGAUUCCCAUCCGGGUGAGGAAGAUAGAAACUAGUACCCAACGAAAUUCUUAUUCGAAGAAUUUGACGGAGAAUAUAUUCCGAGCCAGUCGAGUUUUCAGGUGAAUCGAUGCCGGACCAUUUGAUUGUAACCGAAUCACCGGAUUUUGAAAUGGAUUCUGGGGUAAAUGAAAUCGUAACUUGUGAUGAUAAACUGAAGAAUUGAAGGAGAAUGAAGAUUAAGAUUAAUGGAAUCAUGAUUGUAAUCAAAAUUUUCGGCAAGAUUUGAUUUUUUUGAAGACAGUAUGGAGCUUAGAUUUGUGAUGUAUAUAGGCCGUCUGAAAAUGGGACAUUGAGUAAAUGGCCGAUGAGUAGAAAGGAAGUCUUCCUUUAUCUCCUCAGUAAUUUGAUGUGGAACAAGCUGCGAGAUGCCAUUCCUCCUGAAAUUGGUGAACUAAAGCAGAUAACUCAUCUGUGAGUAUAUUCAUAUUGAAGGAUAUUUCAUAACAAUUAUUUUACUGGCAGCAUUCCAGCACAGCUUGCAAAUUUGAUUAACUUAGAGAUCUUGUAAGUUUAUUUAUUUUUAUGAAAGGGAAUUUUGAGUUGUUACUUUGUUGCUUGAUCUGAUACUAUUUUAUAUUGUAAUUUAUGAAUUUAAUUGCCUCUGCUCACAGAUAUUUAUCCUAGAAUAUUCCUAGAUUACCUGUGAGUUUGCUUUGUCGGUAUAUUUCUUAUGUUAGUAGUUGUAUGAUAUCAUUUUUAGCUUCAGGAUGGUGAUUUAUGACAAUAUAUACAAUUGUUGAAACUCCCGUGAAAUUUUAAGUGUGGCUAAUCUUUUGUACUUGAAGAUGCUAAGGACCAAACUAUGUGCCAAUAGUUUCAGUAAAUAUUGAGGCGAGAAAGCAAUUGUGUUAGACCGAAGCACAGUUCUUUGUUUUUGAACUUUGCUAGCUCUUUCUAAGGUCUUUUACAGAACUGGAAAGGCCCAGGAGCUAUGGUGUAACUGUGUAAGUUUCUUGACCAGCUAAAUCUAAAGCAUGUUUGUUACACUGCACAAAAUUUGAAUUUGUUAUUCUCUUGUAAUAUUGCCCAGCACAGCACUAUUUCGUCAACU